rnacentral:rRNA from 1 species
UACGUAGGGACCAAGCGUUGUUCGGAUUUACUGGGCGUAAAGGGCGCGUAGGCGGCUGUACAAGUCAAAGGUGAAAUCCCUCGGCUCAACUGAGGAACUGCCUUUGAAACUGUACGGCUUGAGGCCGGGAGGGGGUAGCGGAAUUCCCAGUGUAGCGGUGAAAUGCGUAGAUACUGGGAGGAACACCAGUGGCGAAGGCGGCUACCUGGACCGGUUCUGACGCUGAGGCGCGAAAGCGUGGGUAGCAAACAGG